rnacentral:rRNA from 1 species
UACGAAGGGGGCUAGCGUUGCUCGGAAUCACUGGGCGUAAAGCGCACGUAGGCGGGUCGUUUAAGUCAGGGGUGAAAUCCUGGAGCUCAACUCCAGAACUGCCCUUGAUACUGGCGAUCUCGAGUUCGGGAGAGGUGAGUGGAACUGCGAGUGUAGAGGUGAAAUUCGUAGAUAUUCGCAAGAACACCAGUGGCGAAGGCGGCUCACUGGCCCGAUACUGACGCUGAGGUGCGAAAGCGUGGGGAGCAAACAGG